UACGUAGGGGGCUAGCGUUGUCCGGAAUCAUUGGGCGUAAAGCGCGCGUAGGCGGCCCGGUAAGUCCGCUGUGAAAGUCAAAGGCUCAACCUUUGAAUGUCAGCGGAUACUGCCGGGCUAGAGUCCCGGAAGAGGCGAGUGGGAACUCCUGGUGUAGCGGUGGAAUGCGCAGAUAUCAGGAGGAACACCGGUGGCGAAGGCGGUUCUCUGGGCAUUACCUGACGCUGAGGAGCGAAAGUGUGGGGAGCGAACAGG
rnacentral:rRNA from 1 species